AUUUUAAUAGUUUAAAAAAAACAUUGAUAUUGUAAAUCAAAUUUAUAAUUUAUUUAUUUAAAAUA
rnacentral:tRNA from 1 species